CUCGAAACCUAAAUGAGCUAAAAGUUAGUUGUUUAGAACUUAUAGGUAAUUGUUGCAUUAAUUUUUAAAAACUAAAUUUUAGAAGUUAUAUAUUAAUCGCAUUAGGUAAUAGCUAGUUUCUAUUAUUACUAUAAAUUAGUGAAAUUAAAGAAAUUUGAUUAUUAGGGGAUAAGCUCUAGUAAUAGACCAAUUAUUGCAUACAUCUUAAUGUAUAGGCUUAAAAUCAGUUAUUAUGAGUACUUUAUCGUAUUAUGCAUUUAUAUUCAAUUAAUGAUGGGGUAAUUAUAUAGAAUUAAUUAAAAUUGUAUUAUAAAAAUAUAAUGUUUAUAUUAGUAAUUUUUGAACUAGUACUAAUGAAUUCGGCAAAAUUAAUUUUCAACUGUUUAACAAAAACAUUUCCUUGAGCAUAAUUAUUCAAGGUAACCCCUGCCCAAUGACAAAUAAAUGGCCGCAGUAUCCUGACUGUGCAAAGGUAGCAUAAUCAAUUGUUUAUUAAUUGUAAACUAGAAUGAAAGGGACUAUGAGAAAUUGGCUGUCUCAGUACUAGUUAUUAAAUUUAAUCUUUAGUGUGAAGAAGCCUAGAUUUAAUUGUGAGACAAGAAGACCCUAUAAAGCUUUAUUUUUAAAUAAAAUUGGUUUAUUAAAUAAUUUGAUUGGGGCGAUCGGUGACUUUAAAAACGUCAUAUAGUUUUAUGAUUUAUGCAUCUUUGUUUGACCCUUUAUUAGAUCAAAAGAUUAAGUUACUUUAGGGGUAACAGGCUAAUUUUGUAUAGGAGUUCAUAUCUAAUAUAAUGUUUGGCACCUCGAUGUUGACUUAAGAAACCUACAUGGCGCAAGAGCUUUAGUAAGGGGGUUUGUUCAACCCUUGAUAUCUUACAUGAGUUGAGUUCAGACCGGCGUAAGCCAGGUUAGAUUCUAUCUACAAUAAAAUAUAAAUUUUAUUUGUUGUACGAAAGGACCCA
rnacentral:rRNA from 1 species